rnacentral:rRNA from 1 species
CCUACGGGGGGCUGCAGUGAGGAAUAUUGGACAAUGGGUGCAAGCCUGAUCCAGCCAUCCCGCGUGAAGGAUUAAGGUCCUAUGGAUUGUAAACUUCUUUUAUACAGGGAUAAACCUCUCCUCGUGAGGAGAGCUGAAGGUACUGUAUGAAUAAGCACCGGCUAACUCCGUGCCAGCAGCCGCGGUAAUACGGAGGGUGCAAGCGUUAUCCGGAUUUAUUGGGUUUAAAGGGUCCGUAGGCGGGUUCGUAAGUCAGUGGUGAAAUCCUACAGCUUAACUGUAGAACUGCCAUUGAUACUGCGAGUCUUGAGUGUAGUUGAGGUAGCUGGAAUGAGUAGUGUAGCGGUGAAAUGCAUAGAUAUUACUCAGAACACCAAUUGCGAAGGCAGGUUACCAAGUUACAACUGACGC